CGCGGCCUAUCAGCUUGUUGGUGGGGUAAUGGCCUACCAAGGCGACGACGGGUAGCCGGCCUGAGAGGGUGACCGGCCACACUGGGACUGAGAUACGGCCCAGACUCCUACGGGAGGCAGCAGUGGGGAAUAUUGCACAAUGGGCGCAAGCCUGAUGCAGCGACGCCGCGUGAGGGAUGACGGCCUUCGGGUUGUAAACCUCUUUCACCAGGGACGAAGCGUAAGUGACGGUACCUGGAGAAGAAGCACCGGCCAACUACGUGCCAGCAGCCGCGGUAAUACGUAGGGUGCGAGCGUUGUCCGGAAUUACUGGGCGUAAAGAGCUCGUAGGUGGUUUGUCGCGUUGUUCGUGAAAACUCACAGCUUAACUGUGGGCGUGCGGGCGAUACGGGCAGACUAGAGUACUGCAGGGGAGACUGGAAUUCCUGGUGUAGCGGUGAAAUGCGCAGAUAUCAGGAGGAACACCGGUGGCGAAGGCGGGUCUCUGGGCAGUAACUGACGCUGAGGAGCGAAAGCGUGGGGAGCGAACAGGAUUAGAUACCCUGGUAGUCCACGCCGUAAACGGUGGGUACUAGGUGUGGGUUCCUUCCUUGGGAUCCGUGCCGUAGCUAACGCAUUAAGUACCCCGCCUGGGGAGUACGG
rnacentral:rRNA from 1 species